UACAGAGGGUGCAAGCGUUGUUCGGAAUUAUUGGGCGUAAAGGGAGUGUAGGCGGCUAGGAAAGUCUUCUGUGAAAUCUACGGGCUCAGCCUGUAACGUGCAGAGGAAAACUAUCUGGCUAGAGUGUCGGAGAGGAUAGGGGGAAUACCCGGUGUAGAGGUGAAAAUGCAUAGAUACCGUCCAGAACCCCCGAUCGCACGACGC
rnacentral:rRNA from 1 species